CUCGGCCGGGCGUCCCGUCCCGCGUGCCCGGGCUCCAUGCUGUUCGCGCACGGGAGCUCGUCGGCGGGACGCUGGGCAGCCUGGUUGGCCGGUUCCCUGCUCGGCCGGCGCGGGGCGGGGGCGGGGACCGGAGCUGGCAGCGCGCUCGUCUCCUCUCUCUCGCCCCGUCGUCUGCACCGGCGGGUUCAGCCUUGGAAGCUGGGCGCCCGGCUCCCCAGUUCCCGGUUCUGUCUUUCACAAAGGCCUGAAACCGGCGGCGGGGAGCGGGACGUGGGUCUGCCUUUUACAAGUGGCUCCAGCUCAGAUUGAUUUUAGCAAGUUUCGCAAAAACAAAGCAGCCUCCUUCUGUGCCUUUAGGUGACUUCUGUGACAUUUAGCAGCAAAGAAAACUAUUUCCUCUGCCAUUCAGAGCUAACCACGUGUAAUUGGCCCAGAAGUCUGUUGUAUUUCGGGGAACUGUUUGCGAUAUGCCAUCUGUUUCCAUCCCGCGGUUCAAACGAGUCUGUGUUUACCCUUCUGCCGGAGAAAUUGGUUUACAUGCGCAGCAAUUUCGGUGCGACACCGAAAUGUUCCCUUGAACUCACGCUACGGUCCGACGGGCUUUGUACUGCUAAUAACCGUCCAUUUCGUCUGUCAGGAGACAUUCACACAGCCUCGAGGUCGGUCCCAUAAAGGAAGUUAAGAUAGAGGUUUAUCAUAACCAUUUGAAAACCAGUUGGUCUCCGGAGAUGGCCAGAGCCGCAGGCGCCCGGGUCAGGCGAGGUGGCCGAGCGGCCAGGGCGCGGUCGGGCGGCAGGCGCACAGCCCCCUGGCGUUCUGGCUCCCGUGGGGUGGGCGAGGCUGACCCUGAGCGGCCCCCGCAGCUCCUUCCUCCGCCCCGCAGACGCAGUUGCGUCCCUUUUCUCAGCUCCGCGAUUCGUAGCUGGGGGCCCAGCUCCGCGAGCCACAGGUCACGAAAGCGCAGGGCAGCGGCGCGAGCCCGGGGCGGAUGGGCCUCUGAGCGGCGAGUUCGCAGACUGAGGACGGAUGGAGGCCUCAGGGGCCCCCUGGCCGUUUCGGGGCCGCAGGGAGCCGGUUCGCUGCACCCCGGGGAGGCACAGGUCUCCAUGCCAGGGCUGGGGCCGCAGAAAGGGACCCGAUCGCUGGAGCUUGAAGCGCCGGCGGACGCGGUGCCGGUGGGUGGCGGUCUCGGUUUGGCCUGUCGCGGGCUCCUGCCGAGGCCCGCGAGCGGGGGGCCGGGGCCGCGAGGUGGCUGCGUAGGGGGCUCCGCGGGCCCGGGAGUGUCGUUGGAGCCGCGCCCCGGGCGGUCCUGGGCUGAGUAAUCGGAGAAAUUGCUCUGAAAUCGCGUCGGCUGCCCCGGCUGAAAGGCCCCGUAAUCAGCCCCUGGCAUGUGUGCAAAUGCUGAUUUUUCGGGUGUUACUUAAUCCACGCCAGCGGUGGAAAGCCUCGGAUCUCAGCAGCUGUUCUAGGGCGAACAUCGCCCAACAAGACUGCUACCAUCACAGGAGGAAUCUCAAGGUUCUUCCGUGUCUGUUCACUGAAACUUUGCCCACCACACAGAGCAUAUGGCGAUCAACUUCUUCUCUUUUGGAAAACCACCUAUACGUGCACUCCAGAGCGGGGCGUGGAGACUGGUCUCAUUCCAGGAGACGGAUGGAAGGGAUGAAGCGACACGGAGCCUGUGCCAGCUCACGUGGACAUCUGACUGCACAGAGGAGUAGGCACAUGUGGCCCAGUGAAGCUGGUAACCACCCUCGUCCAACAGGCUAAAGGCAGAGAGUUUUUUUAGUCAUUGUUAUUUGUAAAGGGCCGAAGGAUAAAUUGAUGUGUAAUGUUGCAGCAUCGCAAUACAGAUAUGGAUUUUUGCCCCAGCUGUGAUUUUUACUAUCUUGGACAAGUCACAUAGCUUUCCUUGAAUCAUGCAUAUUUUUCCCACUAAAAUCAGAGACAACAAUGGCUGCUUCACUGAUAUGAUAUGAGAUAUGAUAUGAGAAUUAAAUGAAAUAACGUGUAUGAAAUCACUGAUGUAUGUUGAAAGUCCUCUAUAAUGCUCUAUAAAUGGCUACAUUUCUAACUGGAGUUUUUCUGGAGUGUAAAUUGUCAGAAAGAAUUGCCUGGACUUGCUCUGUGUGCGCACAGCCUUUGCCAACUGUGACUCGGCUCUGAGCAAAUGCCUGAAGUACCUGGGGAAGGGAAGAUAGCCUGUUCCGGGGGUGGGGCCCCCCCAUGUUGUACCCCAUCUGCCAGCACGGGGCGUGCAGAUAAAAACUUCAUCACUGAGGAGGGCGACAGGGGUUCUGUCAGAGCCUGGAGUGAGAGAAGGUCUAAGGGGCAGGAGGAGAGGGUGGCGAUGACGCGGGUGCGUUCAGUGGCCCUCUGCCAGCCGUGUGGCAAGGAGGAUGGAGCACAGGGCCCUGGGGCUCGCCACCUUCCCUGGGCUCCUCUUCCCUGCGGCCCUGGCCUCCCUCUCAGGGCCUGAGGCCCGCACCUGCAGGACGGGGAGAGUGGCAGCACCUGCCCACGACACUGCAGUGAAGACUAACCGGGUGAGGGCUUGCCAAGGGCUUAGACCUGCGCUCGGUGUGCUGG
ensembl:lncRNA